rnacentral:rRNA from 1 species
CCUACGGGUGGCUGCAGUUAGGAAUCUUCCACAAUGGGCGAAAGCCUGAUGGAGCGACGCCGCGUGAGGGAUGAAGGUCUUCGGAUCGUAAACCUCUGAAUCAGGGACGAAAGACACUUCGGUGGGAUGACGGUACCUGAGUAAUAGCACCGGCUAACUCCGUGCCAGCAGCCGCGGUAAUACGGAGGGUGCAAGCGUUACCCGGAAUCACUGGGCGUAAAGGGCGUGUAGGCGGACACUUAAGUCUGGUUUUAAAGACUGCGGCUCAACCGCAG